GGGUUUGAUCAUGGCUCAGAACGUACGCUGGCGGCACGCCUAACACAUGCAAGUCGAACGAAGUAGCAAUACUUAGUGGCAGACGGGUGAGUAACAUGUAGGUAUCUACCCUUUGGCCUGGAAUAACACGAGGAAACUUGUGCUAAUACCGGAUAAGUCUUUACGGAGAAAGCUUUAUGCACCAUUGGAUGAGCCUGCACUUGAUUAGUUUGUUGGUGGGGUAAUGGCCUACCAAGACUGUGAUCAAUAGCUGAUUUGAGAGGAUGAUCAGCCACAUUGGGACUGAGACACGGCCCAAACUCCUACGGGAGGCAGCAGUGGGGAAUCUUGCACAAUGGAGGAAACUCUGAUGCAGCGAUGCCGCGUGAGUGAAGAAGGCCCUUGGGUUGUAAAGCUCUUUCGUCGGGGAAGAAAAUGACUGUACCCGAAUAAGAAGGUCCGGCUAACUUCGUGCCAGCAGCCGCGGUAAUACGAAGGGACCUAGCGUAGUUCGGAAUUACUGGGCUUAAAGAGUUCGUAGGUGGUUGAAAAAGUUAGUGGUGAAAUCCCAGAGCUUAACUCUGGAACUGCCAUUAAAACUUUUCAGCUAGAGUAUGAUAGAGGAAAGCAGAAUUUCUAGUGUAGAGGUGAAAUUCGUAGAUAUUAGAAAGAAUACCAAUUGCGAAGGCAGCUUUCUGGAUCAUUACUGACACUGAGGAACGAAAGCAUGGGUAGCGAAGAGGAUUAGAUACCCUCGUAGUCCAUGCCGUAAACGAUGUGUGUUAGACGUUGGAAAUUUAUUUUCAGUGUCGCAGCGAAAGCGAUAAACACACCGCCUGGGGAGUACGACCGCAAGGUUAAAACUCAAAUGAAUUGACGGGGACCCGCACAAGUAGUGGAGCAUGUGGUUUAAUUCGAAGAUACGCGCAGAACCUUACCAACACUUGACAUGUUCGUCGCGACUCUAAGAGAUUAGAGUUUUCGGUUCGGCCGGACGAAACACAGGUGCUGCAUGGCUGUCGUCAGCUCGUGUCGUGAGAUGUUGGGUUAAGUCCCGCAACGAGCGCAACCCUCACUUUUAGUUGCCAUCAUUUAGUUGGGCACUCUGAAAGAACUGCCAGUGAUAAGCUGGAGGAAGGUGGGGAUGACGUCAAGUCCUCAUGGCCCUUACGUGUUGGGCUACACACGUGCUACAAUGGUAUCUACAACAGGAAGCAAGACUGCGAGGUCAAGCAAAUCCUUAAAAGAUACCUCAGUUCGGAUUGCACUCUGCAACUCGAGUGCAUGAAGCUGGAAUUACUAGUAAUCGUGGAUCAGCGUGCCACGGUGAAUGCGUUCCCGGGUCUUGUACACACCGCCCGUCACACCAUGGGAGUUGGUUCUACCUUAAGGCAAGGUUUAAAACCCUUGACCACGGUAUAGUCAGCGACUGGGGUGAAGUCGUAACAAGGUAACCGUA
rnacentral:rRNA from 1 species